UCUAGGAAGAAAUGAAAGGAGUGUUGAAGUACAGUAACAGUCCCCAAAUAUUACCAAGCAGAGAAUUCCAGCAUUAGGGAGGGGUCCCCUCAUUCAGAGCUUUAGGGUGAAAAGGAAGGAACAGAAAUACCGUUCCUCCUGUCCUAUGGCACUAGCUGGAGGAAUAAGCAAUGCACUGCACAUACAGGUAAACUUCAGGUGAAACUUCUGCAAGACUCGGUAAUAUGGCCACUGUUGCAGAGGAAUGCCCAGACACCACUUUAUCUACAGGGUUCUUCUGCUGGAAGAUGCAGGACAAUGUACAUCUCCCAGAGGACUCAACAGUGUCCCGCUGCUGUGUGCUGGUCAGGAUGAUGCAGUCCCUCCUGAGUGCAGGGAAGAAAAGGACAACACAGGGAAACCUCACAUACCAGAGAUCUAAGGAAAUGCUACAGCUAACCAUGGAAAGCUUCUGCCCAUUUCCAUUGACUAGUGUUCUAGUGCCUCUCUACACAGCAU